GAGAUCGGGAUAACACCUGGAACCAGAUGCUAAUACCGGAUAACAACAGAUGAUGCCUAUCAACUGUUUAAAAGAUGGUUCUGCUAUCACUCUUGGAUGGACCUGCGGUGCAUUAGCUAGUUGGUAGGGUAACGGCCUACCAAGGCGAUGAUGCAUAGCCGAGUUGAGAGACUGAUCGGCCACAUUGGGACUGAGACACGGCCCAAACUCCUACGGGAGGCAGCAGCU
rnacentral:rRNA from 1 species